rnacentral:piRNA from 1 species
CGGGACAGCAGCCUCAGGUUUCGCCCCUGC